rnacentral:sRNA from 1 species
GGGUCAUCCCGACCAUGUCGACCUUGCCGGACGCAAUCGCGUGGCGCGCGGUCGCGACGUCAGGGA